UUGGUAGUCUCUGAUAUAUGACACAGGUAUGUUAUUUAUGCUUUUAUCAAUUGCUAAAUCGUCAUUAUUUUUAGUCUUUUGGGGGUUUCGAAAUAAAUGGCUCUGAAUAAAAUGCUAAACCAGUAGUAACGAUGCUUUAAUUCCAGCUGUAGACAGUUAGCUCUAAGCUAGAAGUGUAUGAAGUGAGCUACUAUCACUAGCUUGUAUAAAGUGCUACAUUUUGGGUCCAAAUAGUGCUGAAGCUCGGAAGCUUGACUCCAUUCGGGCCCAGUAGGUGUUGUGGUUACUCCGGCCCACCGCGCUGAUUAACUGCAGCUAGCAUACAAUGUGUCUGUGUUGCCCUCCUGCCUGAUAGAAAAAAAAAAAUAACAAGCAGGGAAAAAAAAAAAAAAAAAACCUAAAGGGUAAAAAAAGCGAGAAAAAAAACUCGGCCAUCCUCACAGACUUCCGGCUGUGGCGGAGAGGCGGCAGCACACAUUCAGGGAAAAUUACUAACGACGGCAGAGAGAACAGCGACGUUUACCGGUUCAGACGACUCCGACCUCCUGUCCGAAACUCCAAGCAACCCGAACAAUCUGGUCCCGAGCUAGCUGCUUCGUCUGAGCUUCACUUCCUCUCGAAAAGGUCGUCAGACAAAAGGAGUGUGUCUGUGUUGAUGUCAUGUCCGGUAUCUGAUGGAUACUUGAUUUAAAAAUGCAACAUGUUCUUCUUCAGCCGUCUCAGCGGGAGUUUUAGGGCGACAAAGGUCCGUUUUGAAGCAAAUCAGCUAUUGAUUACUUUUAUUUUGUUGCAUUCAAAGAUCAGAUUCUGAUCUUAAACUGAACGUGAUGCCUUCACGUUACCUUGGACGAAUCAGAGGUCACUAAAAUCGAUUAAUCCUCCCUACUGUGGUGAUUUGGAUGAAGUGAAUACACUACAAACAGAGCAGGGGCAAAAAAGGUAGUUAUAAAAGAUUACUCUAUAUUAGAAUAAAUUCAAAAAAUGUCAUUUUAAAAAUAAAUUAAAAUGAUUAAUGCUG